UGCAGUCGAGCGAGAAGCUACCUUCGGGUAGUGGACAGCGGCGCACGGGUGAGUAACGCGUACACAAUCUACCUUAUAGAGGAGAAUAGCCCUGGGAAACUGGGAUUAAUGCUCCAUAGUAUUACACUUUGGCAUCAAGGUGUAAUUAAAGCUCCGGCGCUAUAAGAUGAGUGUGCGUACUAUUAGCUAGUUGGUAAGGUAACGGCUUACCAAGGCUACGAUAGUUAGGGGGCGUGAGAGCGUGACCCCCCACACGGGUACUGAGACACGGACCCGACUCCUACGGGAGGCAGCAGUAAGGAAUAUUGGACAAUGGGCGCAAGCCUGAUCCAGCCAUCCCGCGUGGAGGAUGACUGCCCUAUGGGUUGUAAACUCCUUUUAUUUGAGAAGAAACGCCUGGAUUUAUCCGGGCCUGACGGUAUCUUAUGAAUAAGCACCGGCUAACUCCGUGCCAGCAGCCGCGGUAAUACGGAGGGUGCAAGCGUUAUCCGGAAUCACUGGGUUUAAAGGGUGCGUAGGUGGUUUAGUAAGUCAGAUGUGAAAGCCCGGCGCUCAACGUCGGAAUUGCAUUUGAUACUGCUGAACUUGAAUCAGGUUGAGGUGGGCGGAAUGUGGCAUGUAGCGGUG
rnacentral:rRNA from 1 species